rnacentral:rRNA from 1 species
AUAGAGACUCAGAGCUGCAUAUCAAUAAGCGGAGGAAAAGAAACUAACAAGGAUUCCCCUAGUAACGGCGAGUGAAGCGGGAAGAGCUCAAAUUUGAAAUCUUCAAGGGUUUCCCUUGACGAAUUGUAGUUUAAAGAAGUGUUUUCUGUUAGAGAGGUGGUAAAAGUUCUUUGGAAUAGGACAUCAUAGAGGGUGAGAAUCCCGUAUUUGAUCACUUUCUACUAACGUUGUGAUACACUUUCAAAGAGUCGGAUUGUUUGGGAAUGCAGUCCAAAAUGGGUGGUAAAUUUCAUCUAAAGCUAAAUAUUGGCGAGAGACCGAUAGCGAACAAGUACCGUGAGGGAAAGAUGAAAAGAACUUUGAAAAGAGAGUUAAACAGUACGUGAAAUUGUCAAAAGGGAAGCGUUUGACACCAGUGUUGUUUUUCCGAAAAUCAAUUAUGAAUGGCUUGAUUUUAAGUUUCAUGACCUUAAAAGCUUGUUUCUAAUUUUUCAUGUCUUUCGUAAUGCACUUUUCGGUUAACAAGUCAACAUCAAUUUCUUUUGUUGCAAAAGGUUAAGAGGAAGGUGGCUUUACUUUCGGGUAAAGUGUUUAUAGCCUUGUGCCUCUGCAAUCGGAGAGAUUGAGGUCUGCAGCGUAGAUCCUUCGGGGUUAGAUACGUUUGUGCUAAGUUAUAGCUUUUCAUAGACAACUUGUUGACUAUGUUUAGUCUUGUGACUUACUCGCUUACGCUAUUUUACCUACGCUUAGGAUGUUGAUAUGCAUGACUGAUAU